rnacentral:lncRNA from 7 species
GCUCGCGCGGCGCAGGCGCGCGCGGAUGACCAAGUGCACAUUUAUAAUGCGGGCAUGGCUGCUGGCGCGCAAUGCGGUCCCGACGCGCGGCGCAACACCACUACGUCAAUGGCAGUUUGUCGCGCAUGAAUCACAAUCCGUACACAAGAACGGAUCAACCAAUAAACAUACCGCUCGUGCAUAGAGGGAGAAUCAAAGGCUGUCGCGUAGGACAGUUCGGCUAGACCGAGAGACCUGCCGGCUCGACGAAGAGUUGAUGCAGAUCUGAUCCCACAACAACAUCAAGGUAGAGCGUGUUGAUAACGUGUUGAGAACUACGUUACCACGGAUCACCAGAUCCGCUCCCUUCCCUCCCGUCAGCAGUAGAGACGCAAGAAGCUGUAGAGGACCCGUCUCCCUUCCCAUAAGCACGACAGAGGAAACACACGAGACAUAGGAUAUAGGGUUGGGCCUCUGGCCUCUUUCUCUUAUCUGUAUUAUGAGGGGGUGUAUAGGUUCCUUAUAUAGAGAUGUGAGACCCCUCAGGGGCAAAGCAGGUAUUUGCCCACAUAACUCUAACUAGGGUUACUUAACACUUUUAUCUCCUGUCUCUUGUGUUUGUGUCGUCAUGAAAAGGAUAGAAACGGGUCUUAUGCAUUUUCCUCACUCCAUUGCUGACCAAAGGUUUUUGGG